rnacentral:rRNA from 1 species
CGGCUCAUCGCAUCCUGGGGCUGGAGAAGGUCCCAAGGGUUUGGCUGUUCGCCAAUUAAAGCGGUACGUGAGCUGGGUUCAGACCGUCGUGAGACAGGUCGGUCCCUAUCUGGUGUGGCUGUUGGACGCUUGAAGAGGUCUUUCCUUAGUACGAGAGGAUUGGGAAGGACGAAGCUCUGGUGUACCAGUUGUCUCGCUCGAGGCACCGCUGGGUAGCUAACUUCGGAACGGAUAAGCGCUGAAAGCAUCUAAGCGCGAAGCCUUCUCUAAAACUAGGCGUCCCCAUUAGGGUCCUGGGAGACUACCAGGUCGAUAGGCGGUAGCUGUAAGCACGGCAACGUGUUCAGGCGAGCCGUACUAAUAACCCGAACGGCUUGGUUUCCCUU